GCGUGAUUGUGAUUUUGUGUGAUAAAGUGAAAUGUUAAUGCUAGAAUUAUUUCAGACUGUAUGUAAAGUUGUUUUUAAAGGAACACUCUGGGUUUAGCUCAGGAGAGCUAACUGAAGUUCCUGCAUAGAACCUUCCAUCUCUCUGGUAUAUUUAGUGGAGGUGUUGAGCGGUGCACAGUGGACCCUAGGUAAGAUGUCAAACCAUGCAAAAAGUGUUUGACACCUUACAAUAGGCACUCCUGACACAAUAAUAAGACAAGCUAAUUUACAAUAGUUUUAUUCCUAGUACUACUAUUCCUAUAGGUUCAAC